rnacentral:piRNA from 1 species
UAGUCUUUCAGAAGAGCCUGGAAUACCUGC